GGGGCUGAUUCUGGAUUCGACGGGAUUUGCGAAACCCAAGGUGCAUGCCGAGGGGCGGUUGGCCUCGUAAAAAGCCGCAAAAAAUAGUCGCAAACGACGAAAACUACGCUUUAGCAGCUUAAUAACCUGCUGAGAGCCCUCUCUCCCUAGCCUCCGCUCUUAGGACGGGGAUCAAGAGAGGUCAAACCCAAAAGAGAUCGCGUGGAAGCCCUGCCUGGGGUUGAAGCGUUAAAACUUAAUCAGGCUAGUUUGUUAGUGGCGUGUCCGUCCGCAGCUGGCAAGCGAAUGUAAAGACUGACUAAGCAUGUAGUACCGAGGAUGUAGGAAUUUCGGACGCGGGUUCAACUCCCGCCAGCUCCACCA
rnacentral:tmRNA from 1 species